CCUCUCUCCCGCCCUCCCCCUCCGCCUUUGUCUUACUAUCACAGGGAAACCGAGGGAACGAUUUCCUGUUGACACCGGAUUAUUUAGAAAGUGAAGGGAAGGAGGAGAGAGGGAAAGCCGGCCUGGAAGUUGUGCCGAGUCGCACCUUACACCCGGGCUGUGCCAGUGGCUCCCAGGGGACGGAUAGGGCGGCCCUGCUGCUGGAUGCGCCCUCACUCGGGACAAAGUUUGUGCGCAGGGAAGGAGCCCCGGCAAGGAGAGGGGGGGGGCACAGGGGCAGAGGCUGCAGCCCGGGAUAUGCACUUUAGCAGCAGCAGCAGCAGGGGCCUUGUGCUACCGGCGCUACACUGGGGACAGGACAGCCCUUGGAUUUGUGAGCCCUUCCAUGCUCUCACCCACAGCUGCUGAUGGCUGAAGCCUGGCUGGAGGAAGAAGAGGAGGAGCUGAGAGAGCUCAGGGACAGUGCUGGGAACAGGAGGCACAGGAGGUCCAACCUCAACCAAGCUGCAGGUCGAUAUUCCCAUGAAGACAUUUGGAGCACCCAACCUGUUUGUUUACCAAAUGAUGUCAACUAUAAUGUGGAGGGCACAGUGUCAUGUGUUAUGCGUGAUCCUGCUCCUGCGCAAAAUAGAAAAUAUGAAUUAUAACAGUGGUUUUUCAUGUCCUGAAGUUCAGAACCCAGCUUUUAUUGAGCACCAGUGCCAGCCUACAUGGAAUAUGAGUGCCCCUGUGCCACCAGCUCCUCCCCAGGACCCCCCCCCCCCCCAUGCCCAGCACCUGGGAGCUAGCAAGCUAUCCGUACCUCUCCAGCACCAGAAGUUUGUCCCCCACGUCAGGACUUUUUGGCUCUAUUUGGGCCCCUCGGAACGAUGCCUUUGAUGGCUGCUGCCGGUCAGUGGCUCUCCUCCCCAUUCUGAGCACGUUGGGAAUCACUCAGUUAUGUGCAAGCCGGAGUACUUGCCUAGAUUUAACCCCUUCCAUGCCUACAUGAACCUGGACGUAUGGACAGGAACCGCUAACAGAAAUGCACCUUUCCCAAUUUCGAGAGACUCUGGUAGUUACUCUGGAAACUUGUGAACUGAAUUUGAUCCAAGAAAAUGUGAAUAUUAAUGCUUGCAGUUUUGAACACUAGAGUGAGCAAGUUAUUGUAAUAGAAUACAAUAUUGGUGAAUAUUCUGGCACUUUUUAUAUCAAUAAAUUUUUUUUACUGAA